CCGACGUCCUCCGAGCUGGAAGAGGCCACUGAGCCCUGAGUCCGUGCGUGUUCGUGCGGUGCCGCCCACAUCCCGCGUGAUCAGCUCUGCCUUCUAAGGACUCUGUACUCGCCGAAGAGGGGAACACUGAGAAAGGACAUGGUUCUAUAUUUUUGACAAGCAGAGCACAGGAAUGUUAUCCUGUGAAAGUUGAGGACUGGCUGUAGGUCUGAGUCAGGACUCCAACCAGGACCCUACUUCUGCUGGAUGCCCUUUCUAUUUGGCCUCAGUCCUUCCGUUCUGACCUCUUGGCCAGCCCCCUGCCUGGGAGUGAAGGCAGCGACGUCUCCCCCCAGAUCCUUCUCCCUCCCCUGAAGAGGACCAAGAACUGGCCCAAGCACGGAGCCUGAGGGAAUGGCCCCCGGACCCCUAAGACCCCCAUGGCAGGUGAGUGCGGGGCAGCCCCAGUCUCCAUCACCAUCAGCAAAGGUGG
rnacentral:lncRNA from 1 species